UGCCCGAAAGGGUGACGAUGCGACGCCGCGUGAGCGAAGAAGGCCCUAGGGUUGUAAAGCUCUGUCAGGGGUUAAGAAAUGUAGAUAGGUUAAUACCCUGUUUAUUUGACAAAAGCCCCAAAGGAAGCCACGGCUAACUCUGUGCCAGCAGCCGCGGUAAUACAGAGGUGGCAAGCGUUGUUCGGUAUUAUUGGGCGUAAAGAGCACGUAGGUGGUUUUGUAAGUCAGAUGUGAAAGCCUUCUGUUCAAAGGAAGAACGGCAUCUGAAACUGCAAAUCUUGGGUGUAGGAGGGGAGAGUGGAACUUCUGGUGGAGCGGUGAAAUGCGUAGAUAUCAGAAGGAACGUCGGCGGCGAAAGCGACUCUCUGGCCUAUUACUGACACUGAGUGUGCGAAAGUUAGGGGAGCAAACGGGAUUAGAUACCCCGGUAGUCCUAACCGUAAACGAUGGGCACUAAGUAGAGGGGU
rnacentral:rRNA from 1 species